rnacentral:rRNA from 1 species
AGGCAUUGGUGGGAUACUACCCUAAUUGUAUUGGAUUUCUAACCCGCAGCACUUAUCGUGCUGGGAGACAGUGUCAGGCGGGCAGUUUGACUGGGGCGGUCGCCUCCUAAAGAGUAACGGAGGCGCUCAAAGGUUCCCUCAGAAUGGUUGGAAAUCAUUCAUAGAGUGUAAAGGCAUAAGGGAGCUUGACUGCGAGACCUACAAGUCGAGCAGGGUCGAAAGACGGACUUAGUGAUCCGGUGGUUCCGCAUGGAAGGGCCAUCGCUCAACGGAUAAAAGCUACCCCGGGGAUAACAGGCUUAUCUCCCCCAAGAGUUCACAUCGACGGGGAGGUUUGGCACCUCGAUGUCGGCUCAUCGCAUCCUGGGGCUGUAGUCGGUCCCAAGGGUUGGGCUGUUCGCCCAUUAAAGCGGUACGCGAGCUGGGUUCAGAACGUCGUGAGACAGUUCGGUCCCUAUCCGUCGUGGGCGUAGGAAAUUUGAGAGGAGCUGUCCUUAGUACGAGAGGACCGGGAUGGACAUACCUCUGGUGUACCAGUUGUCGUGCCAACGGCAUAGCUGGGUAGCUAUGUAUGGACGGGAUAAGUGCUGAAAGCAUCUAAGCAUGAAGCCCCCCUCGAGAUGAGAUUUCCCAACUUC